rnacentral:rRNA from 1 species
CGAACGUUAGCGGCGGGCUUAACACAUGCAAGUCGAGCGAGAACGGGACCUUCGGGUCCUUAUUAGAGCGGCGCACGGGUGAGUAACACGUGGGUAACCUGCCCUCCGGAGGGGGACAACCACUCGAAAGGGUGGCUAAUACCGCAUCCGUCGUCCGGGUCUGCGGACCUGGACGGGAAAGUUGGGGAUGCCUUCGGGCACCUGACACCGGAGGAGGGGCCCGCGUCGCAUCAGCUUGUUGGUGGGGUAAUGGCCUACCAAGGCUUAGACGCGUAGCUGGUCUGAGAGGAUGAUCAGCCACACUGGGACUGAGACACGGCCCAGACUCCUACGGGAGGCAGCAGUGGGGAAUAUUGGACAAUGGGCGAAAGCCUGAUCCAGCCACGCCGCGUGAGUGAUGAAGGCCUUCGGGUCGUAAAGCUCUGUGGAGAGGGACGAAAAUAUGCGGGUUAAUACCCCGUAGACUUGACGGUACCUCCUUAGCAAGCACCGGCUAACUCC